rnacentral:misc_RNA from 1 species
UGAAGUCGUUACUCCAACCCUUGUGGAGGAGGACGCCGAAGGUGGGGCUAAUGACUGGGGUGAAGUCGUAACAAGGUAGCCGUACCGGAAGGUGCGGCUGGAUCACCUCCUAACAGGGAGACAACAAAAUGUAAAUAUUAAUUUUGUCACCUUAGGUCGAUCGGUAUCUCAGAUUCUUAAUUUUUAAGAAUUUCAGUUUCUAAGUUUUUUCUAGGUCACACCCAUCACUUUUUCCUGGGCCAUUAGCUCAGGUGGUUAGAGCGCACCCCUGAUAAGGGUGAGGUCCCUGGUUCAAGUCCAGGAUGGCCCAUACUCUAUGUUGGGGGUAUAGCUCAGUUGGUAGAGCGCCUGCUUUGCAAGCAGGAUGUCAGCGGUUCGAGUCCGCUUACCUCCACUGAAUACCACCUCUUGCAUAUUGUUAAAGAGGGAAAUUGUUUGAGACGUGUCCUAAUUUGCUCUGAGCGAAUCUAGCUUCCUAUUUUUUUAAAUAAGAUGCUGAACUCAUUGAAUUUUAUUCAUUGUUUUUCAGAGAACCUUGACAACUGCAUAGAUUAUUUUUGAAGACAAUAAGCAUCUUUAAUGAUGCAGAUUUAUUAUUUGUGCGAAUGCAUUAAAUAACAAUUCUAUUAAGCUGAUGCUUCAAUUAUUGAAGUUAUUGGUCAAGCUACAAAGGGCUCACGGAUGAUACCUAGGCACACAGAGGCGAUGAA